rnacentral:rRNA from 1 species
CACGCCGUAAACGAUGAUUACUAGGUGUAGGGGGUAUCGACUCCCUCUGUGCCACAGUUAACGCAGUAAGUAAUCCACCUGGGGAGUACGGCCGCAAGGUUAAAACUCAAAGGAAUUGACGGGGGCCCGCACAAGCAGUGGAGUAUGUGGAUUAAUUCGAGGCAACGCGAAGAACCUUACCAGGGCUUGACAUCUCCUGUAGAUCUAAGAGAUUAGAUUGUCCCUUCGGGGCAGGAAGACAGGUGG